UACGUAGAGUGCGAGCGUUAAUCGGAAUUACUGGGCGUAAAGCGUGCGCAGGCGGUUUCGUAAGACAGAUGUGAAAUCCCCGGGCUUAACCUGGGAACUGCAUUUGUGACUGCGAGACUAGAGUGUAGCAGAGGGGGGUAGAAUUCCACGUGUAGCAGUGAAAUGCGUAGAGAUGUGGAGGAAUACCGAUGGCGAAGGCAGCCCCCUGGGCUAACACUGACGCUCAUGCACGAAAGCGUGGGGAGCAAACAGG
rnacentral:rRNA from 1 species